AGGGCCUUGAAACAGACCUGUGGCCUACUGUCUAAAAGACUUGAUCCUGUGGCAAGUGGAUGGUCUACCUGUUUGAGGGCAGUUGCAGCCACCACCCUCCUGGUCAAGGAGGCAGAUAAGCUCAGCCUAGGAUGGGACCUGGUCAUCACCACACCCCAUGCAGUGGAAACAUUGCUGAGAGGAGCCCCAGACUAUGGCUCUCCAACGCCUGCCUGACUCAGUACCAGGCCCUGUUGCUGGAUGCUCCAUGCAUCAAAUUCACCUGAGAAAUGACCCUCAAUCUGGCCACCUUACUCCUGGACUCUGACUCAUAUGCAUGCCCCUCCAUAACUGUCUGGACACUCUGACAACUUCCACCACCAACUGCCCAGAUCUGACUGAUGUUCCCCUGCAAAGCCCAGAUGAGACCUUCUUCACCAAUGGAAACAGCUUAGUGGAAGACUGAGUCAGUCUCUUCAAGCCUUACAGAUUCUUCAGAGUGAGAUCCAGGCUACAAAACAACAGGCUCAAGAAAAACCCUUUGCGACGUUCCAGCCCCAUGGUUUCAAGCCAGGAGACCUGGUCCUGAUAUGCUUGGUUUGCUUGCACUGAGGACUUGACUAAAUACAUUCCCAAAUCAGUCUUGGCUACCCAAUCUGCCACUUUAUUUUGUGUCACCAUGUAUGGUGUUCCACAAGUCUUGUAUUAUAAUAAAAAAGGGGGCUGUAAACAUCUGGAAUUAACCACUGAACACUAAAGGAGUAAACGGGAUGCCCCCAUUUUAGUGCCCAUUCUGGUGGGAUUAGGAAUAGCCAGGUCAGUGGCUACUGGAACUUCCUCCCUGAUCCUUCAG
ensembl:lncRNA